CCCGUCACACCAUGGGAGCGGGUUCUGCCAGAAGUAGUUAGCCUAACCGCAAGGAGGGCGAUUACCACGGCAGGGUUCGUGACUGGGGUGAAGUCGUAACAAGGUACC
rnacentral:rRNA from 1 species